UGGGGAAUAUUGGACAAUGGGGGCCAACCCUGAUCCAGCCAUGCCGCGUGAGUGAUGAAGGGCCUUAGGGUUGUAAAGCUCUUUCACCCGGGACGAUAAUGACGGUACCGGGAGAAGAAGCCCCGGCUAACUUCGUGCCAGCAGCCGCGGUAAUACGAAGGGGGCCUAGCGUUGUUCGGAAUCACUGGGCGUAAAGCGCACGUAGGCGGACCGUUAAGUCGGAGGUGAAAUCCUGGGGCUCAACCCCAGAACUGCCUUCGAUACUGGCGGUCUCGAGUCCGGAAGAGGUGAGUGGAACCUGCCAGUGUAGAGGUGAAAGUUCGUAGAUAUUGGCAAGAACACCAGUGGCGAAGGCGGCUCACUGGUCCGGUACUGACGCUGAGGUGCGAAACGCGUGGGGUAGC
rnacentral:rRNA from 1 species